AUUUAGUUAUGCUCACGGGGACUAUGAGUGUCUACUUUAAUAUUAGCAAUGUAUCAAAUUAUUUUAGAUUCAAAAUAUAAUUUAGGAAGGCAAAUAUUUUAGAGGAUGUGGUCCAAUGUCUUGUGUUCCAUGGAAAUUUGUAUUUUGAGUUUUGUAACAAAGUUAGAUAGGAUGGAUAGAAUAAAAAUUGGAGUUGCUACUACUAAUUGAGAAAAUUAUAGAAUCUGAUUUUGAUUCUUUGGACACACCUGAAGUAGUGGCAAGGACAGUAUAUCUAAAGAUCAUUUGACCUAGCUUUUUAUGGGAUUGAAAGCAAUUUUGAAAUUAAAGCUAAAAAUAAAAGGUUGAACAAUAAAGCUAAAUUUGUUUGUUUGGUAAUGAUUGUUUUCUAGCUCAAAAGGUUUUAGUAGAAUGGCAGAAUUUGAGUUAAAUGACUAAAAAUUGGAUAAAAUUGUAAAAGGUCUACAAUUGAGUUACAAGCUCAUUUUAAACUAUUUUUUAAGACAAAGUUUCUUAUACAUAGUAGAAAGUAAAUUCCUUUUUUGAUUUAUUUAUUUUUUAUGGAGAAGAGAAGUAAAAAAUAAAGUUAGGAAAUUCACACCCAUAGAAUAAUAGUCUAAUAAUUAUUAGUAGAGAAAUUAGUAGUCUAAUAAUCAGAGGUACAAAAAGAUGAAGAAAAACCGUAAGUCAAAAAAUCAAAAGGAAAUUUAGAGAUAAUUAGUUGAUCUUAUUUAUCUAUUACAUGACAUUUUUUUGU
rnacentral:lncRNA from 1 species